rnacentral:rRNA from 1 species
GCAGUCUGCAACUCGACUGCAUGAAGCUGGAAUCGCUAGUAAUCGCGGAUCAGAAUGCCGCGGUGAAUACGUUCCCGGGUCUUGUACACACCGCCCGUCACACCAUGGGAGUCGGAUAUGCCCGAAGUCAGUGACCCAACCGCAAGGAGGGAGCUGCCGAAGGUGGAGCCGAUGACUGGGGUGAAGUCGUAACAAGGUAAC